AACGAACGCUGGCGGCAGGCCUAACACAUGCAAGUCGAGCGGUAACAGAGAUAGCUUGCUAUCUGCUGACGAGCGGCGGACGGGUGAGUAAUGCUUGGGAAUAUGCCUUUGAGUGGGGGACAACAGUUGGAAACGACUGCUAAUACCGCAUAAUGCCUACGGGCCAAAGAGGGGGAUCUUCGGACCUCUCGCGUCAAGAUAUGCCUAGGUGGGAUUAGCUAGUUGGUGAGGUAAUGGCUCACCAAGGCGACGAUCCCUAGCUGGUCUGAGAGGAUGACCAGCCACACUGGAACUGAGACACGGUCCAG
rnacentral:rRNA from 1 species